GUUGUUGUGACUCAGUGGUAGAGCGCUCACCUAGCAUGUGUGAGGCCCUGGGUUCGAUCCUCAGCACCACA
rnacentral:tRNA from 1 species